rnacentral:misc_RNA from 1 species
GAUGAAGAACGUAGCGAAAUGCGAUACGUAAUGUGAAUUGCAGAAUUCAGUGAAUCAUAGAGUCUUUGAACGCACAUUGCGCCCCCUGGUAUUCCGGGGGGCAUGCCUGUCCGAGCGUCAUUGCUGCCCUCAAGCACGGCUUGUGUGUUGGGCCUCCGUCCUCCUCCCGGGGGACGGGCCCGAAAGGCAGCGGCGGCACCGCGUCCGGUCCUCGAGCGUAUGGGGCUUCGUCACCCGCUCUUGUAGGCCCGGCCGGCGCUUGCCGACACAUCAAUCUUUUUUCCAGGUUGACCUCGGAUCAGGUAGGGAUACCCGCUGAACUUAAGCAUAUCAAUAAGCGGAGA